GGACGAACGCUGGCGGCGUGCCUNAUACNUGCAAGUCGUGCGGACCUUUUAAAGCUUGCUUUUAAAAGGUUAGCGGCGGACGGGUGAGUAACACGUGGGCAACCUGCCUGUAAGACNGGGAUAACGCCGGGAAACCGGGGCUAAUACCNGAUAGUUUUUUCCUCCGCAUGGAGGAAAAAGGAAAGGCGGCUUCGGCUGCCACUUACAGAUGGGCCCGCGGCGCAUUAGCUAGUUGGCGGGGUAACGGCCCACCAAGGCNACGAUGCGUAGCCGACCUGAGAGGGUGAUCGGCCACAUUGGGACUGAGACACGGCCCANACUCCUACGGGAGGCAGCAGUAGGGAAUCUUCCGCAAUGGACGAAAGUCUGACGGAGCAACGCCGCGUGAGUGAAGAAGGCCUUCGGGUCGUAAAACUCUGUUGCCGGGGAAGAACAAGUGCCGUUCGAACAGGGCGGCGCCUUGACGGUACCCNNCCAGAAAGCCACGGCUAACUACGUGCCAGCAGCCGCGGUNAUACGAGGUGGCNAGCGUUGUCCGGAAUNNUUGGGCGUNAAGCGCGCGCNGGCGGCUNCUNNAGUCUGAUGUGAAAUCUUGCGGCUCAACCAAGCGGUCNUUGGAAACUGGGAGGCUUGAGUGCGAAGAGGAGAGUGGAAUUCCACGUGUAGCGGUGAAAUGCGUAGAGAUGUGGAGGAACACCAGUGGCGAAGGCGGCUCUCUNGUCUGUAACUGACGCUGAGGCGCGAAAGCGUGGNNAGCAACAGGAUUAGAUACCCUGGUAGUCCACGCCGUAAACGAUGAGUGCUAAGUGUUAGAGGGUUUCCGCCCUUUAGUGCUGCACUAACGCAUUAAGCACUCCGCCUGGGGAGUACGGCCGCAAGGCUGAAACUCAAAGGAAUUGACGGGGGCCGCACAAGCGGUGGAGCAUGUGGUUUAAUUCGAAGCAACGCGAAGAACCUUACCAGGUCUUGACAUCCUCUGACCUCCCUGGAGACAGGGCCUUCUUCGGGGGACAGAGUGACAGGUGGUGCAUGGUUGUCGUCAGCUCGUGUCGUGAG
rnacentral:rRNA from 2 species